rnacentral:rRNA from 1 species
UACAGGGGGGGCAAGCGUUGUUCGGAAUUACUGGGCGUAAAGGGUUCGUAGGUGGCCAACUAAGCCAGACGUGAAAUCCCUCAGCUUAACUGGGGAACUGCGUCUGAUACUGGAUGGCUUGAGUGUAGGAGAGGAAUGCGGAAUUCCAGGUGUAGCGGUGAAAUGCGUAGAUAUCUGGAGGAACACCGGUGGCGAAGGCGGCGUCCUGGACCAACACUGACACUGAUGAGCGAAAGCCAGGGGAGCAAACGGG